rnacentral:lncRNA from 1 species
UUAGUUUCCUUAUUUCAAUACAACUCUUUUGAAAACCAAUUGUGGGAGCAAUUCUUGACCUAAUUUUACCACCUAUAAGUACAAGACAAGGGAAAAACAUUGAGGCAUCUCUCUCUCACCUCUCAAAUCUAUAUAUAUCAAGAAAUGAGGGUAAAUUCAAUAUAAGUUGGAAAGGAGAACAAAUCUAGAACGUGGAUUGAAUCAAGAAGCAUCAAGAAGGUGAAGAAUCAGGGAUUGGGAUUGAAGAUCAAGAACAAGAAAUGGCAUCCAUAUAUUUCUUGUAUCCAUAUAAAUUUUGAGGAUGCUUUCUAAUUCUUGUUGUUGUUAGAAACAUGUUAGGCUAGAUUUUCUUUGUGUUUGGAUAAAGAUGAAUCUUAUUAUUAUUUAUAUUUAAUUCAAAGACGAAUAGUAAAUUUAUUUCUUGAUUGA